AUUGAACGCUGGCGGCAUGCUUUACACAUGCAAGUCGAACGGUAACAGGCCUUCGGGUGCUGACGAGUGGCGGACGGGUGCGUAAUGCAUCGGAACGUGCCCAGAGGCGGGGGAUAACGCAGCGCAAGCUGUGCUAAUACCGCAUGUGAUCUGAGGAUGAAAGCGGGGGACCAGGCAGCAAUGUUUGGCCUCGCCUCUUUCGAGUAGCCGAUGUCAGAUUAGGUAGUUGGUGGGGUAAAGGCCUACCAAGCCGACGAUCUGUAGCUGAUCUGAGAGGACGACCGGCCACACUGGAACUGAGACACGGCCCAGACUCCUACGGGAGGCAGCAGUGGGGAAUUUUGGACAAUGGGCGCAAGCCUGACGCAGCAAUGCCGCGUGAGUGAGGAAGGCCUUCGGGUUGUAAACCGCUUUUGUAAGGAAAGAAAAGGCUCUGGCUAAUAUCUGGGGGUGAUGACGGUACCGAAAGAGUAAGCACCGGCUAACUACGUG
rnacentral:rRNA from 1 species